rnacentral:piRNA from 1 species
UGAAGCAACAGAUAUGUGGAUGGACAAGG